CAAGGAACCAUACCAGUUAAUAGCACUUCUAUCUUUUCCUCCAGUCUACUGCAGGCACGACAGCAUACAACAGCUAGGAAAAAACAUUCUGCUGACAGUCAUGCAUCUGAGAUGGGCGACAUAAAGUGAUUGAUUGGUCACAAAGAGUCAAGGACAUCUUGCCCUGGACCUGGACGGCUGGAACUGAGAGUCAUCUCCAGUUGGAACAGUGCUUGGAUUGGACCAUGUGAUGGAUAUGUGGGUGUUGGGCAGGGACUUGACUUUCCUUUGGGUGGGGAAAACCUGGAAGCUUUCAGUUUCAGGUUUUUCCAGAUGUGCCAAUAUGACAUCUCUAAUAAAAUGGAACUUUG